UCUCAACGUUAAAGGCCUAAACGCCCCCAAAAAACGACGGCUCGUGUUUAGGGAACUAAAAUGCAUGAACCCCGACAUAGCCUUCCUACAGGAGACGCACUUGUCGAAAUCAGCAAAGUUCGCCCUUAAAGACCACACCUUCAGAACCUCUUACGAAGCCAGGGCCCUCAAUAAGAAGAAUGGAGUCGCUAUUCUCAUACAUCACAGAUGCCCAAUUAGGGUCAGCAAGAUUAGUGCGGACCCAGGGGGACGCUAUGUUUUGGUGUCGGGGGCUUUGCAUUCUCAAGCUAUUCAUAUCCUCAAUUUAUACGCUCCUAACGACCUGUCCAGAGAAUUCUGGACAGAGCUGACCCACAUAGUAAACACGUUACCACAUGGAAUGAUCAUAGUAGGGGGGGAUUUUAAUGCAGCUACGUCCCCGGCAAUGGAUAGGGGGCCGUGUAGGGGAAUCCCACGAUCGCACAGACGAGGCAGACAAGACAAAUUAUUACACACAUUCAUACAACAGUCAGGUCUUAUAGACAUAUGGAGGGCUCAACAUCCAGACGAUAGCGACUACAUGUUUUAUUCGCCACCACACGAUACAUAUUCAAGAAUAGACCUUUUUCUGGUGAACCCCCUAACUGUUCCCAAGGUCUCGGAAUCCACGGUGGGAUCCAUAACAUGGUCGGACCACGCAGAUGUUUCCCUUACUCUAGACGAGCUUAGCGCGGCAUCCCCUUGGUCAUGGAAGCUAUAUAGAUCCCUACUAGAAGACCCAGCAAUAGUUGAGACUAUUCGUAUGGAACUCAACGAGUAUUUUGCCAGGGAGGCAGAGUCAGGCGUGUCAAAAGCCACGGUGUGGGCAGCGCAUAAAAUGGUCAUUAGGGGCAUACUGAUUAGAGAAGCGACAUUGAAGAAACGACGUGUCAACUGUUAUCGUCAUUAUUAGAAGUUUUGAGAAAGGCGGAACAACGGCAUAAGUCGGACCCCACACCUACUAAUUUAACGAUGGUGCAGAACGUAAGGAACUCUAUUCGAGAAACACUCCUAGAUAACACUACGAGAGCUAUAGUGUGGUCAAAACGAACCUUCUUUGAAAAAGCUAACAAGAUGGAUACCCUAUUGGCAAGAUCCCUUAGACCUAGACAACGGGGCACACACAUUACGAGGAUUAUGAAUGCAGUAGGAGAAUACCAGACUAAUCCCACAGAGAUUGCCAAGGUGUUCACAGACUAUUAUACCAAACUUUAUCACCACUCGACAGGCGGAGUCAGGGACCCAAGUCAGGAAUUGGAUGGGAUACGAGCGUUCCUCUCUCGGUUACACCUCCCCAAGUUAAACGCGGCGGCUUUGGGUGCCUUGGGCAACCUUGUCUCGGCUGAAGAAAUAGAUGCGGCAAUUUCCGCCUUGAAAAGCAAUAAAGCCCCUGGACCGGAUGGCUUUGAUGGAAGCUACUAUAAAACCUUCCGAGAGGAGCUUGUGCCUCACUUAGAACCCUGGUUCAACAACCUCAUGGACGGGGGGACGCCAGAUAAAGAUAUGUCCUUGGAAAUAUAGUUUUACUAUCUGAACCGGGCAAAGAUGACUCAAUCCCGGAGAAUUUUCGUCCAAUUUCUUUAAUUAAUCACGAUUCCAAAAUUUUUGCAAAAGUGUUGGCAGGUAAAUUGAAUCAGAUCCUUACAGGUCUGAUCCACCCAGAUCAGGUGGGCUUUAUACCUGGGAGACAACUGUUCGAAAACACGAGACGCAAUAUAACCCUUAUAGGAAGACAGGCUACAAAGGGCACUCCGACACUGAUGCUAUCAUUGGAUGCCAAAAAGGCAUUUGACAGAGUCAAAUGGCCCUAUGUAUUUGAGGUAUUAAAUCACUUCGGCAUGCCGGCCCAGUUCGUAACGGCUGUUCGGGCCUUGUACUCAAACGUCAGGGCGCAGAUCCAGAUUUCGGGAGCACGAACCAUCCCAUCUGAGUAAUGGCACGAGACAAGGAUGCCCGCUUUCACCUCUACUGUUCGUUCUUUCGCUGGAACUCCUCAUGCAAACAAUCCGCGAUGCCUCAGAUGUCAAGGGUGUUACCGUGGGAGGUAAGCAAUACGUUAUAUCGGGUUUCGCUGAGGAUAUAUUGUUGACAUUAACGGAUCCGAGGGUUUCUAUGGGGGCUCUGACUGGGAUCCUGGCGGAAUACGGUGAGGUGGCUGGCUAUAAAGUCAACUUACACAAAUCAAGCGCACUCCCCAUAGGUGUGGGGGAAGAGGAAGCGGCGUAUAUAGGGAGGACUUAUCACAUACGUAGAUCGAAGGACCAUAUCAAAUACUUAUGCAUAUGGUUGACGGCGGAUCCCUCCCAACUAUACCAGCAAAAUUACGCCCCGCUAAUUCGACAUUUAAUAAACGACAUGGAGAAGUGGGUAGAUAAACCGAUCUCGUGGAUCGGAAGGAUACAUUCAGUGAAAAUGAAUGUGCUACCCAGGAUACUAUUUCUAUUUCAAGCUCUUCCGGUCCAGGUGACUAAAGCUAAUUUGGAACCGCUUCAACAGGCUAUAGGCAAAUUCAUCUGGCAGAAUAAAAAACACAGGAUCUCCCCUAAUGUACUUUAUAGGGCUAAGGGUAAGGGGGGCCUCGGCCUUCCAAACCUUUAUUUUUACUACGUGGCGGCUCAAUUGGCCCAAACUGCACUAUGGCACUACAGCUUAGGGAUUAUGCCCGAGACUCCCGGAUCAAGACGGCUGCGUUGACGCAGUUAACGUUUUUCGAAAGGAUGUGCAAGAGGGAACAAUUCCCAAGCGGCUUAAUUUCAUGUUUAUAUUCUCAUCUGAGCACUCACACGCUAGAAUGGGGAGAUAUCACAUAUAUAGAUCAGUGGGAAACAGAUCUCAAUGAGGUUCUGGAAGGCAUAGAAUGGCAGGAAAUACGGGAGGCUGCUGCAUCAUCUUCAGUGUGCGUCUCCUUGCAGGAACAAUCCUAUAAGACCUUAUUUCGGUGGUACACCACUCCAGUGACACUUUACCGAAUGCGUAAAAACCCGACGGACCUAUGUUGGAGAGGAUGCAGAUGCAAGGGUACAUAUAUACACGUGGUGGGAAUGCCGGGAGGCACAAACCUAUUGGAAACGGAUUGCUGCAUUGCAAGGAGAUGUUUUUGACAGGAAGGUGAAAUUUGACCCAUGGGUGUUUCUCUUGUCUAGAUCCAUGGAUGGUUGGACAAGAAUUGAGCAAAACCUUAUACACAAAAUAAACCUAGCAGCUUGAAGAGCCCUAGCACAGGUGUGGCUACAGAGGGAGACCCCAACAAUGGCGAUGGUAAAACAAAAAAUAAAAGAUACUUGCCUAAUGGACAAGCUGACAGCACAGGUCAGGGGGACAUUGAAGAAAUUUGAUAAGAUUUGGAACCCCUGGACAAAUAGCACUGUGAGCGAUUAGAGAAAGGCAGACUAAAUUAGACCGUCCAAACAUACAUCACGGGACUUCUGAGAAAGGAAGUAAACCGAAUUACUUGGACCCGGCUAGCAGGUUAAGGUUUUUAGCGGACUCCCAAUGGGGACAGGGCUGGAAAGGAAGCACAUCCCCUAAGAUGUCUUUUUAUCGGGCGGCUACCCUCGGCUUCCCCCUCCCCCUCCUCCCUCUACCCCCUUCUUUGCGACCUCGGACCUUCGAGGCACCUCCUCUAUUUUCCCUUUUCUUUCAUCUCUUAACUUCUUAAUCUUAUCGUCCGACUGUACAUAGUGGGAAUACACGUGCGAGACAAUAGCGACAUGGGAGCAAAUGUACGCUCGUAUAUUAUUCUUAGCCGUUAUUUUCCUCCCCCCCCCCUUUUUUUUUUUUGCAUGUUUGCGUUUGCAAACACGUGUGCAGUCGGCAUAUAUCAUAUCAUAUGUUAUCUGUUAAAUGUUUUAUCUACUAUUCAAAACCAGACGGGAUAUCUAACCAUACAUAGGGAUGAGAUCUUCCUUGAAAAUUAGAGAUGUAAACUCAGUUAGCGGUUUCUAGUUACAGGAUUUGUGCGACCUUGACUGUUCACCCAUCAUACGAAUGUAACAAUGCCAUGAUUACAGUGUACAUGCUUGUUUAUGCAUAACCUUAUGUUGUUGUAUAUGCACUGUUUGUGAUGUCU
rnacentral:lncRNA from 1 species